CAAGUGAGGAGGUGGAAGAAAAGAAAAAGAUUUAAAAAGGAAAAUAUUUCCAAGCAUGACGACGAUGGAUGUAUUUAAAAAAAGGGGGGGGGGGAGGAGGUAAAAUUUUGUGUGUUCCUUCAGCUGCAUAGGAAGUCGUAGACGAUGAAAGAGGAAAGAAAAAGAGUCUGGACCACGGCCGUAGUUCAUAGCUCUCAGCGGAUUCAUUUUCCCCAGUUGGUUGGAACGAAAUUACAUCGACACAAAGACAGGAGAAAAAUACCAGCCGUCGUCUUUGUGUGUGUGGGUGGGUCUUCAUAAAAUAAAAAGAGACGUAAACACCUCAAACACAUCCCGUCACAAAGAAGAACAAAAAAAUUGUCUACCCGGCCGCGAAAAUUAAAGAUGCCGUGCCAGCGAAACAAGCAAUCCACGGUGGGGUACAAAAAUCACAGAGAUUACGAACCUGCAAGCCAAAGAUUCUGUAAAUGUUUACACGACGACAGUCGACAAUGAAAGACAAGCCUAAACAAAUAGAUGAAUCCACAAAAACCGGAAAACAAAUCUAAUCACGGCAAAGAUGACGAUGCGCAACAAAAUCUUGUAUAGAAAUCUACGCAGAACAUAGACAACAUCAGACUGACGUAGGAAAUAGUCAAAAAUAAAAGGAAAACAACAUUCUUCAAGACUUUGUCGUAUCCCUACUAAAUCUUGUGUACAUCCUUUCCCGAGUUUUGUUUCUACUGGCACACACAGGGGCUGUCUACUAUGAAACUACGGAAGUGCAUCGUCUAUAUGAAUACGCUCUCCAUUCCUUUCAAGAUUCUUUUUCUUCCUAAAGUGAAAGGAAAACUAGAAACGACAAAACAAGACAGAAGGCAAGAAGCGAAGCGCAAUAGAUUAAACAAACACAAGGCUCCACUGUGUAUAUUUCGCAGUCCGUGAAAGAAAAUGUAGUAGACCUUUAGUGAAAAUCUGUCUUCCUAAAUUCAGCAUUUCGACUCUUUCAUCAACUAGCACAUUUUAAUUUCAAUUCUUUUUUCUUUCCGGGAUUUUUCUUUUUUCCCCCUGUCGGAUGUAUCACGCAACGCCCUUCUAAUUCUUUUUAUUCCGGAGCGUAACCAACAAAUAAAAAAACCAACAAAAUUUUAGAAAGAGAAAAGAAAACUGUAGGACAAAUUUGCCUUGUGCAAGACAAAACAAAAUAGCAGCGGAUGUGUCUGUACGCAGCUGUUCAAUUUUUAGCCCCAAACAAAAUCUUAAAAGACAGUUCACCUGUUUCCAUAAAACCAGUUGUUGGCCAUCCGUCAAUAAAAAUACAUUAUGACGUUUUCACCUGUU